rnacentral:rRNA from 1 species
GAUGAACGCUGGCGGCGUGCUUAACACAUGCAAGUCGAACGGUGAAGCAGGAGCUUGCUCUUGUGGAUCAGUGGCGAACGGGUGAGUAACACGUGAGCAACCUGCCCCUGACUCUGGGAUAAGCGCUGGAAACGGCGUCUAAUACUGGAUAUGUGAUGUGACCGCAUGGUCUGCAUCUGGAAAGAAUUUCGGUUGGGGAUGGGCUCGCGGCCUAUCAGCUUGGUGGUGAGGUAAUGGCUCACCAAGGCGUCGACGGGUGGCCGGCCUGCGAGGGUGACCGGCCACACUGGGACUGAGACACGGCCCAGACUCAUACGGGAGGGAGCAGUGGGGAAUAUUGCACAAUGGGCGGAAGCCUGAUGCAGCAACGCCGCGUGAGGGAUGACGGCCUUCGGGUUGUAAACCUCUUUUAGCAGGGAAGAAGCGAAAGUGACGGUACCUGCAGAAAAAGCACCGGCUAACUACGUGCCAGCCGCCGCGGUAA